rnacentral:rRNA from 1 species
GACGAACGCUGGCGGCGUGCCUAAUACAUGCAAGUCGAGCGAACGGACGAGAAGUUUGUUUCUUUGAUGUUAGCGGCAGACGUGUGUGUAACGCGUGGAUAACCUACCUAUAAGACUGGGAUAACUUCGGGACACCGGAGCUAAUACCGGAUAAUAUUUUGAACCGCAUGGUUCAAAAGUGAAAGACGGUCUUGCUGUCACUUAGAGAUGGAUCCGCGCUGCAUUAGCUAGUUGGUAAGGUCACGGCAUACCAAGGCAACGAUGCAUAGCCCAUCUGAGAGGGUGAUCGGCCACACGGGAACUGAGACACGGCCCAGACUCCUACGGGAGGCAGCAGUAGGGAAUCUUACGCAAUGGGCGAAAGCCUGACGGAGCAACGCCGCGUGAGUGAUGAAGGUCUUCGGAUCGUAAAACGCUGUUAUUAGGGAAGAACAUAUGUGUAAGUAACUGUGCACAUCUUGACGGUACCUAAUCAGAAAGCCACGGCUAACUACGUG